CAAUAAAAAUACCGAUCACCAGCUAUCAUGGUCUGCUAUAUAUAUCCUUGGAAGGUAGGGCGUCAAUUAUUCAAGGAUCCCUGUUCAUGAAGAUGGGUCCUCCCAUGCUGACUGCCUCAGCCUGCCUGAAUUCCGAUGGGGUAAUAGACACAUCUUAACAUAGAGAGGCUUAUGUCCACCAAUUGCCUUCACUGUUUUGAGGACCCCGGCCGUCUAAUGCUCCCGGUGCUUGAAUCUCUGGGAGGUAAGAGUAUUCCUGGAGCUUGAAUCCUUGAAUCUCAGGGAGGUAAGAGUAUUCCCGGUGCUUGAAUCUCAGGGAGGUAAGAGUAUUCCUGGAGCUUGAAUCUUGCUGCAAAAAUGAUAACGUAGUAUCCAUGGGAGCUUUCUUCAGAAUCAUGUGACAUACCUGUGAUUUCAAAAUAAAAAUAAACAAGAAAAACCUUCAAUUGCUUUUUUUUUUUAAUUUCCCAAAAUUAGAAAAGGGAUCUUUUAUUUUAAAUGUUGAUGAGAAUGAACUAAUAUGUUCGAUCUUGAUAUUAGGUUUUAAAUAAUUAAGAUCAGCUUCUUGAGGUCUUUCAUCCUUUCAUUCUAACGAUGGUGGUUAUAUAUAUUUGCUGAUGGAAGGUGCCAUGUUUGAAAAGAAUGAUGCUGAGUUUUGAGAAUUGAUGUUGUGCUUCACUGCGACGGUGAAACCGUGUUGCACUAGCAAUGGGAAUCAAACGAAUGUUCCCGGAAUUGAAGAUCAAGCCGGUGGUGCCGGCCUACCCUUUUUUAUUUCUCUUGAUGAAUGAAGACCAUAUGAAUACAGAAAAGGAAAUCAAGCCCGUGGUGCAUAAUAUAUUAGGCCUUUCACCGUGGGCUCCGACAAUGGGGCACCCGAACCACCUUCUUCUUCUUUUUAUGUUACCGUGCACUAAAAUAUUUAGGCCUCCACCGUCAUGUGACCUCUGUUUCACCAUUAAUUUUAGAACGGCCCCGGCCUUUUUUAUUUUUUUUUACCUGUGAUGAUCAUGAUGCAAGAUAUUUUUUUUAAAUGAUUUUUAUUUAAAAAUAUAUUAAAAUAUUUUUUUUU